rnacentral:rRNA from 1 species
AUUGAACGCUGGCGGCAUGCUUUACACAUGCAAGUCGGACGAGUGGCGGACGGGUGAGUAACGCAUCGGAACGUACCGGGUAGAGGGGGAUAACUGUUGGAAAGGACAGCUAAUACCGCAUAUUAUUCGAGCUGCCGAGUUGGGAUUAGCUGGUUGGCGGGGUAAUGGCCCACCAAGGCGACGAUCAGUAGCGGGUCUGAGAGGAUGACCAGCCACACUGGGACUGAGACACGGCCCAGACUCCUACGGGAGGCAGCAGUGGGGAAUUUUGGACAAUGGGCGCAAGCCUGAUCCAGCCAUGCCGCGUGUCUGAAGAAGGCCUUCGGGUUGUAAAGGACUUUUGUCAGGGAAGCGGUACCUGCAGAAUAAGCACCGGCUAACUCCGUGCCAGCAGCCGCGGUAAUUC